UACGUAGGGUCCGAGCGUUGUCCGGAAUUAUUGGGCGUAAAGGGCUCGUAGGCGGUUUGUCACGUCGGGAGUGAAAACUCGGGGCUUAACCCCGAGCCUGCAGUGGAUACGGGCAGACUAGAGGUAGGUAGGGGAGAAUGGAAUUCCCGGUGUAGCGGUGAAAUGCGCAGAUAUCGGGAGGAACACCGGUGGCGAAGGCGGUUCUCUGGGCCUUACCUGACGCUGAGGAGCGAAAGCGUGGGGAGCGAACAGG
rnacentral:rRNA from 1 species